rnacentral:rRNA from 1 species
UGGGGAAUAUUGGACAAUGGGCGAAAGCCUGAUCCAGCCAUGCCGCGUGUGUGAAGAAGGUCUUCGGAUUGUAAAGCACUUUAAGUUGGGAGGAAGGGCAGUAAGCGAAUACCUUGCUGUUUUGACGUUACCGACAGAAUAAGCACCGGCUAACUCUGUGCCAGCAGCCGCGGUAAUACAGAGGGUGCAAGCGUUAAUCGGAAUUACUGUGCGUAAAGCGCGCGUAGGUGGUUCGUUAAGUUGAAUGUGAAAGCCCCGGGCUCAACCUGGGAACUGCAUCCAAAACUGGCGAGCUAGAGUAGGGCAGAGGGUGGUGGAAUUUCCUGUGUAGCGGUGAAAUGCGUAGUUAUAGGAAGGAACACCAGUGGCGAAGGCGACCACCUGGGCUCAUACUGACACUGAGGUGCGAAAGCGUGGGGAGCAAACAGG